CAGGACUCACGCAAGCAUUCUAACCCAAAUCCCUUCAAAGGAUAACUUAAUCUGUGAUAAAACAAAUCUUCCCGAAUAAGAUCAUCCUUACAUCCAACUUAACUUCAGAGAUAGCAGAGAUAAAUUAGCCAGUCGAGGCUCUUAAACGUCCCACGUGCUACGUACCAAAAUAUAAAGUCGUACCAAUCCGGGUAGAUAAAUACAUAAAUCUCUAUUACAAAUUUACAGGCCAAGUAAUCGAAUUAGGGUUUACACACUUUCCAGUUUCAAGUGGCAACCCAAAAGAAAAGUGCAUUAUCUCAAAUAACACAUUACAGCCCACAGAAUAAGUUAUAGUAUUCAAAUACAAUCCAAAAGGAAAACUUAAGUAAGCAUCCAGCUUUCAGUUUCCAGAACCUGUUAAGGAAAACAAUAAACGUGGGGUGAGCUAAAACUCAGUGGUGCCCCAAAACAUGCAAUCACAUAAUUUCAAACAGCGAUUAAUAACUGCACAAAUUUAAACAGUUAGGAAAGCGUAUAACAGCACAGGGUAGGAUACAGGGGCUCUCAGGAGCCAUUUUCCACGCUUGAUCAGAUACCAUCGUAGUUGACCCUCCGUCAACUUUCACUACUUAUAAUCCAUGUAGAUCCACUUUUAUAUAUAUAUAUAUAUACUAGUCGAGGGAUUCACCCAACGACAUUGCGUCCAGCAUGAGGUUAUUAUUGACUAGUCGAGGGAUUCACCCAGCGACGUUGCGUCCAACUUGUGGUUAUUAUAGACUAGUCGAGGGAUUCACCCAGCGACUUAUUGCAGUUAGAUUCACGCGUCGAGGGAUUCACCCAACGACGCAACUACAUUUAGAUUCACAGAUUCAGAUGUUAUGGUAGUUGGAUUCACAUGUCGAGGGAUUCACCCAGCGACGCAACUACAUUUAGAUUCACAGAUUCAUUAGAAAAUGUUUCACACACGUCACCACUCGAACGGCUAGUGCGAUAAAGUACACACUGCUCACUUCGAUGGAUCAAAAAUCAUUUAUUGCAUUUUGACAAUUAUCACAUAGCGAAUUGAUAAAGCGCUUAACCACAUAACAUAGAACAAGCAGGGACACUCACCAAAAGUGAAGUUCAAAGGUCAAGCCGGGAAUCGUAGUCCAAGUCC
rnacentral:lncRNA from 1 species